rnacentral:rRNA from 1 species
UACAGAGGUCUCAAGCGUUGUUCGGAUUCAUUGGGCGUAAAGGGCGUGUAGGCGGUCAGGUAAGUGGGAUGUGAAAUGCCCCGGCUCACCCGGGGACCGGCAUCCCAUACUGCUUGGCUUGAGUACGGGAGAGGAUGUGGGAAUUCCUGGUGUAGCGGUGAAAUGCGUAGAUAUCAGGAGGAACACCGGUGGCGAAGGCGCACAUCUGGCCCGAUACUGACGCUGAGGCGCGAAAGCUAGGGGAGCAAACGGG